rfam:Triticum aestivum genome assembly, contig: Triticum_aestivum_CS42_TGACv1_scaffold_031206_1BL
GAGGAUGAUGAUUUCAUAUUUGUUGCCCCAGUCUUAGGAUCCGCCUAGGUGGAUCUCUGCUGAUUGACAUAUUUUUGAAUCUGACUC